rnacentral:rRNA from 1 species
AACCCUACGUUUAGUUGCUAACGCGUGAAGGCGAGCACUCUAGACGAACUGCCGUUGACAAAACGGAGGAAGGUGGGGAUGACGUCAAAUCAUCAUGCCCCUUAUGUUCUGGGCUACACACGUGCUACAAUGGCCGGUACAGACGGACGCAAAGCCGCGAGGUGGAGCAAAUCCUAAAAAGCCGGUCUCAGUUCGGAUUGCAGGCUGCAAUUCGCCUGCAUGAAGUCGGAAUCGCUAGUAAUCGCAGGUCAGCAUACUGCGGUGAAUACGUUCCCGGGCCUU